GACCUGCCCUUGCCAUGAGGCCCAGAUCCCCUCCACCAGGCACCAGUAACUCCCCUGACCAGUAAUUUCCCCUGAGGGACGCACCCAGGUCCGUCUCCCCCUUCCUGCCACAGCCAGACUAAGGGUCACAGACGCCAAGCAGGGGCCAGGGGGAGAGGGGCCCCACCCAGCCCGGCAGGGACCCUCUGCUGGCUGCUCAUUCUGGGGCCUUUUCCACCCCCACGUGUUCAACGUGCUUUGCCUGUCUGCCUCACCCUGUAGGACUAGGAGGUGGGGGUUCAACACAGCAAGACCUGCCCCCAAGCUCAGGCUCAGUCCCUGCCUGGGGCCAGCCACCUGUCCCCCGGCUUAGGACGGGCCCACAUGAGGAGGAGGAACUUGCCCUUUGAAGCUGGUGGGGGGCCAGGACCCCCACCAUGCUUGAGUUCCCCUGGGUGGGAGAAGCCACCACAAAGGCUGUGAUUGUGAGCCAGGCCAGGCACACAAUGGGGUGGGCCGCUCAGGGGCCAGGGCCCCACAUGGAGAUGAGGCCACAGCCCCUUCCCUGCUCCCUCCUCCCUGGCCCCGCCCAGCCCCACCAGGAAAGCCGGACAGAGGGCCCAACAGCCCAGAGCGGCUCCACCCUGAUCCCUGAAGGACUGGGCACUGGGCCCGAGGGCUGUGUGGCAGCCCGUGGUUGCUGCGGGGACCAGGUCGUUUGGGGCGAGGACCUGCCUUCUCAUGUGGACGGAGGUGAGCGGCCAGAUGGCAGCUCCCGCACACUUGCUGUGUUACUGCAGGGAGCCCACUGAGUGUGUGAGAUGCUCAGCACUGCCCAUCCUGGCCUGGGCUCCGCCCUCACCUGCCUCCCAGCUCAGGCACCUGUCUGCCCAAGUGAGCAGC
rnacentral:lncRNA from 1 species